rnacentral:rRNA from 1 species
AGCGAACGCUGGCGGCAUGCCUAACACAUGCAAGUCGAACGAGACCUUCGGGUCUAGUGGCGCACGGGUGCGUAACGCGUGGGAACCUGCCCUUAGGUUCGGAAUAACUCCCCGAAAGGAGUGCUAAUACCGGAUAAUGUCUUCGGACCAAAGAUUUAUCGCCUUUGGAUGGGCCCGCGUUGGAUUAGCUAGUUGGUAGGGUAAAAGCCUACCAAGGCGACGAUCCAUAGCUGGUCUGAGAGGAUGAUCAGCCACACUGGGACUGAGACACGGCCCAGACUCCUACGGGAGGCAGCAGUGGGGAAUAUUGGACAAUGGGCGAAAGCCUGAUCCAGCAAUGCCGCGUGAGUGAUGAAGGCCUUAGGGUUGUAAAGCUCUUUUACCCGGGAUGAUAAUGACAGUACCGGGAGAAUAAGCUCCGGCUAACUCCGUG